UAUUUAUAAAUCUGCUACACAGAGUCAAUGUCCUAGGCCUUCCCAUUCACUCACCACUCGCUCACUGACCCAUCCAGGGCAACUUCCAGUCCUUCAAGCUCCAUUUAUGGUAAGUGCCCUGUAGCUGUGCUGCUUUU